AUACUUACCUGGCAGGGGAGAUAGCAUGAUUAUGAAGGUGGUUUUCCCAGGGUGAGGCUUAUCCAUUGCUUCUUUUUUAUGUCUAAUGAGAGCAACAUAAGGGAGAGGGGACCAGCCUGAGGGAUGGAUGCACACAGUGCUUGGGAAAAAACAGCCCUCUCCUUAUUCUUC
ensembl:snRNA U1 U1 spliceosomal RNA